CAAGCUCAUCAAGAAGCUGUAUCCUCCACAGAAGAUGCUCGUAGAGUAGUUGUGGAUCAAUCUGCUCCCAGGAGCCAGUGAUACGCAGCUGAAGAGAAGAUAAAGCUGGUGAUGGGGCAUGAAGAUCCCAAGGAAGCAGCUCCUCUUCAGUACUCAGAAUUCUGAUUUCCUAGACUGCAAAAAAGACAGCCAUCACUCUCAAGGCAGCGCCUUCAUCAGCUGCAAAUCAUUAUUUCUUCACCCUGCUUGGGUGGGAGCUCACAGAAGCUGAGCCAUGAUGUGGGCACAGUGUUUCAGCUGUCCCUUC